UUCGCUGUAAAUAAUAUAAUGCCCAAAUUUCCAAGACUCUGACUAAAGAGACAAAUUAGCAGAAAAGGUUUUUGCAUCAUCUCCCAGCAAUCUUCUCGCCAGUCGACGUCGUUUACUUAUAAGAGAUAGGUUAUGGUAACAUUAGACCUCAUCGAGUUGGAGCGUGAUAAGCUGGAACUGUUCGUCAAGAUAGUUACUAUGUUCGGGAUGUUGCUGCUCCUGGCCGUGAUGAUCUUCAGAAGCUAGAGGACCGCUGUUCGGAUCAAGUAGGCUUCACGCCAGUCCCGACAAAAAUUAUAGAGCUAACGGCCGCGGUUCAGCAUGGACUCCAUUCGACGACCCAACUUCAUUAUAGGAACAUAAAUUUCGCCGCUGCGGCGCCAAUUUGUUCUUAACUGAUAUUGAUAACAUUUUAUCCUAACUAUUAUGUAACUUUUUAAGCGAAUAAUAUUUUAAUCAAAUGCUGACAGUGAAGUGAUUCA